CUAAGAGAGAUCGAGAGAGAGUUGAGAGAGAUCGAGAGAAGGAGAACAAGCCGAUGGCUGGAAGAAGAAGCUAGCGGUAAAGGAAGCCAUGGCUGAGUGGUGAAAGAGAUAGCAGCGCCCAAUGGUGGCUCCAGCAGCGCGCGGUGGCUCGCGUGAGGCGGUUGGCUGAUGGCUGGCUAGGGUGGUGGUCUGCAAUGCCCUGAAGCCGCAGCCAGAAGCUGGGUGGAGGUGCUGGAGAUGCAGGCAGGGGGCAGCCAUGGCAGCGGUGGUGCGCUCGGGGAGGUCCAGCCAUGGCAGUUCACGCCGAUGGCAGCCAUGGCCAGGGGUCGCGCGAUGAGAAGUGGCCAGCUAUUGGCCGGAGGCAGGCGACAACAGCGGCUGGUGCUCUGGUUCGUGCGUAGGUCGGCCGCGCGAGGAAGAAGAAGGAGCUGCGCGGGAGAAGGGAGAAGCAGGUGAGGAAGAAGAGAAGAAAAUAAAAAAAAAUAAAAGAAAAUAAAAUAUAAAAGAAAUCUAGAAAUAAAGGAGAAAAUAGGGGGAAAAUCUCGAAAAAUUUCAGGAAAAAAGGGGAAAAGUCUAAAAAUUAUUUCGGGACUCGAGGAGCAUGCCAGAGGCUUGAAAUCAGAGCAUUGGGCGCAUGAUGGCAGUCAAGAAGGCAAGGCCGGUGUGGGCGUUUGUCCGAUUUUCUCCUCCAGAUUAGUUGAGAUUCGACCGGGAAGGCAGUGAUCCUAGAGGAACUUAAGGUUCAGGCUGGAGUUUGUGCCGAGGCAGAGAUGAGGCUUCGAACCAAAUGUUGCAAGUCCAGAUGCAAGCAGGGAUGGUGCUAGGAGGCUGUUGUGACAACUAACAUCGUUGCCCGAGAUGUGUGGAUGUGUAUUCUUUGGUAUUUUCUUAUAUGUAUUCAUGUGUUUGAAUGUAAGCGUUAUUGAGCCUUAGAGGUAUCUAGUUGUUGUAAUCAUAACAGUGUAAUAGAUGAUUGUGAGUUUGCGUGAUUUAUAUGUGGCUUGAGUUGUUGAAGCCAA